AGAGAAAGUGAAAAGUGGAAAUUGGGAAACGAAGAAGAUGGUGAGCGGAGGAAGAAGAUGAAGUAGUGAGAGUUGCGUUUUCUGAAGAGGGGAAAGCGGUAUUUAUAGAUUGAGAACCCCCAAGGGUGCCGCCUCUUCAAACCCUAGAGGGUUCAAGGUUGUCGCCGCAGAAGAGGGAAGACCAGCGUGAAGGAAGGAGUCAACCUCCCACUCCUCUCGUAACGAUCUACAACGUUCAAAAAUCCAGCAGUGCGGAGGCGCCCAACUUCCGAUUCGUGCGGCCACGAUCCAAGGUUGAAAGGGCAACGUUUGAUUUUCAACUUGGAAACUAUCUCCACUUCACCCAUGCUUCCGAGAUUUCCUCCAACGGCACUAUGAAGAAGUUAGGGUUUUUUUGCGCAUCCUCUAUUUCUGUUUCUGCACUUUAUUUUGCAAUACAUACUCUGUUUUUACAACAAUCCCCCACAUAUUGCAAAAGAUAAAACAUAGAGAUAAGAAGAAGAAAAAAAUUGGAUUCAUCUAAGAUGUAAUGCAUCAGAUCAGGUAUAGCAAGCUAUAUGAACCAGUCUUAGAUUAAUGAACGUAACACAUAGUGUAGUUGGUAUAGCAAGCUAUAUGAACCAAGACACUUAGUAUGUGUUAGAGGUUUAUCAAUCACAAUACACCCCCACAUUACUUGUUGUUAUCGCUGUGUUGCGCUACUAGGCCAUGCGCGUGCCCGGUAUUCAUGAGUGCUAUAGAGAUCUUGCCAAGAUCUCAUGCAAGCGGCCCCACUUGACACUCAUAUAGGUGAUUUCAUCAAGUGUAUGCUGCAAAUUAUACAUCACCCAUAAGAGAUAUGAAAAUCAUUAAAACUUUGUAAAUCAUUAAAACUCUUUUAUCUUUGAAUUUUAACCACAAAGUUUAUCCUCUCGAUUAUGCAGUAUCUAGCACUUUCACACACACCAUAGGAAUGGACAAAAUUGAUUUAAAAAUCAAUAUUAGUGCUAGCAGAACAAACAAGUGACUUGUUUUUACCCAUAUGAACCUUAUUCAUGGGAUCUCCAAUCACAAAGGUUGGGUUUCCAUCACUUGUUUGUUUGCAAGUGGCUUAAGUCCCAUUCCCCUCGAUGUUUCUAAAAUCAUUUUUCUCCCUAGGGGUUUUGUUAGAGGAUCCGCCAGAUUCCGUUUUGACUUGACAUAGUCAAUAGAAAUCGUUCCACUCUUUAACAGCUGUUUCACCAAAUUGUGUCUCAAUUGUAUAUGUCUAUUCUUCCCAUUAUAGCUUUUAUUUUUAGCUAUAUCUAUUGUCGAUUGGCAAUCACAAUGCAUUGAUACAGAUGGGGUUGGAAUCAUUCCUAAAGGAAUGUUUGCUAAGAAGUUUUUCAACCACUCAGCUUCACUACCAGCCAUUUCUAGAGCAACAAACUCAGANNNNNNNNNNNNNNNNNNNNNNNNNNNNNNNNNNNNNNNNNNNNNNNNNNNNNNNNNNNNNNNNNNNNNNNNNNNNNNNNNNNNNNNNNNNNNNNNNNNNGGCUGAUCUCCAUGUAACUGCACCACCCCAAGUGUAAAUACAUAACCACUAGUGGAUUUUGUCUCCUCUGAAUCAGAGAUCCAGUUAGCAUCACUGUACCCUUCUAGCACAGCGGGAAAUCCACUAUAUUCAAUGGCAUAAUCCAUUGUACCUCUCAAGUAUUUCAUGAGUCUCGCAAGUGUUUCCCAAUGAUCCUGACUAGGACAUUGAGUGUAUCUACUCAAUCUACCUACUGCAUAAGCAAUAUCUGGUCUAGAAAAGCUCAUUAAAUGCAAUAAGCUCUCAAUUAUCUGGGCAUACUGAGUUUGAGAAAUAGAUUCUCCUCUGUUCUUCUUUAAUUUAGAGUUAGCAUCAUAAGGGGUACUCACUAACUUAAAGUCAUAGUAACCAAACUUCUUUAGAAGUUUCUCAGUGUAUUUUUCUUGGGAUAGUAAUAUACUAUCUCCCUUCCUUAUGAUUUUAACUCCUAGAAUCAUACUUGCUUCACCCAUGUCUUUCAUCUCAAACUUAGAUCCAAGAAACAAUUUUGUUUUAAAAACUAUAUCAUUGCAUGUACCAAAAAUUAGCAUGUCAUCCACAUACAAACAUAUAAUGACAUAUUCACCAUUUUCAGAUCUAGAAUACACACAUUUAUCAGCAUCAUUGGUAGAAAAACCUUCACAAAGUAAAACAUUAUCAAGUUUUUCAUGCCAUUGUUUUGGUGCUUGUUUCAAACCAUACAAAGAUUUUAAAAGUUUGCAUACUUUUUCCUUUUGACCUGGGACUACAGAACCUUCAGGUUGAGUCAUAUAAAUUUCCUCUUCUAAUUCACCAUUCAGAAAAGCUGUUUUAACAUCCAUUUGGUGAAUUACUAACUUAUGGAUAGAUGCUAAGGCUAGCAAUACACGGAUAGAGGAAAUCCUAGUAACAGGUGCAAAAGUAUCAAAGUAAUCUAUGUUAUGUUUUUGAGUAAACCCUUUAGCUACUAAUCUUGCCUUAUAUUUCUCUAUGGAUCCAUCAGGAUGGUACUUCUUCUUAAAGAUCCACUUACAACCAAUGGGUUUUGCUCCUUUAGGCAAAUCUACUAAGGUCCACGUAUUAUUUUUCUUAAUUGAAUCAAGCUCAGUUUUAAUGGCCUUAUCCCAAUGUUUAGCAUCAGGAGCACUAAUAGCUUCUACAAAACUUAUUGGAUCAUUCUCAACUAGAUAAGUAUAAAAGUCAUCUCCAAAAGAUGUUUCCUUUCUCUAUCUUUUACUUCUCCUAAUAUCCUCACUCAAGGUAUCACUAGCACUAUCUAUAGGUUGUUCAGAUGUACCACUACUCUUUAGAGGAAAGAUGUGUUCAAAGAACUCAGCGUUUUUCGUCUCUACUAUAGUGUUACGUUCAAUUAUAUCACUAUUAAGAACUAGAAACCUAUAGGCAGCGCUAUGUUUUGCAUAUCCUAAGAACAUACAAUCAGAUGUUUUAGAGCCUAUUUUCCUUUUCUUAGGAUCAGGUAACAUUACUUUAGCUAAACACCCCCACACUCUUAGGUAUUUCAAAUUAGGUUGAUAACCUUUCCACAACUCAUAGGGUGUUUUACCAGUUUUCCUAUGUGGUAUCCUAUUUUGCAAAAAACACGCAGUAAGCAGAGAUUCACCCCAUAAAUUAUCAGGAGCAUCAGAACUAAUAAGCAUGGCAUUCAUCAUUUCUUUAAGAGUCCUAUUUUUCCUUUCAGCUACUCCAUUAGACUCAGGUGAAUAUGGUGGGGUUACUUCAUGAAUAAUACCUUCUUUUACACAAUAGUCAUUAAAUAAAACAUAUUCACCACCUCUAUCUAAUCUAAUUCUCUUAAUUUUCUUAUUAAGUUGAUUUUCUACUUCCGCUUUAUAAGUUAAAAACAUGUCAAAAGCUUCAUCCUUAUGUUUAAUUAAAUACACUUUGGUGUAUCUAGAAAAAUCAUCUAUAAAGGUUACAAAAUAAUUUUUACCACCUCUAGACAUGGUUUGUUUUAAAUCAGCAAGGUCGGUAUGAAUUAAACCAAGAAUUUCAGUUUGACGUUCUACAGAGUGACAUGUUUUCUUCGUUAUUUUAGAUUCUACGCAUACAUCACAUUUACUACUUUGUUUGUCAUGCAUGUUGAUUAAUCCUAGUCGUUGCAAUUUUAUAACAUACGAAGAAUUCACAUGUCCUAAUCUAGCAUGCCAUAUAUCAUACGAGUCAACAAUAUAAGCAGAAAAUUUAGAUUCAUUCAUAAUUUCAGAAAUGUUUAAUACAAAAAGGUCUUGAUCACAAUAUCCCUUUCCCACAAAAACAUUGUUUUUGGUCAUAACAAUCUUGCCAGAUUCAAAUGACACUUUAACCCCAACUUUGCUUAGUAAUGCCACAGAGACCAAAUUAACUCUAAUUGAUGGCACAUGUAGCACAUCAUUCAAAGCUAGAGUUUUACCACAUGUGAGCUUCAGAAGAACUUUUCCUUUUCCUAGGACAAGAGUUGUUCUGGAGUCACCGAGAUAUACUUGUUCUUCUCCAUCCCCCACACUUGUGUAGGAGGUGAACACAUUUCUGUUUGCACAGAUGUGUCUGGUAGCCCCAGAGUCUACCACCCAUUUGCUCACAUUUGUCACAAGGUUUACUUGUGAAGCGACUGCCACAAUAGUAUCUUCCCCUUCGGCUAGAUUUUCCUUAGGAGGAUAGUCGUUUUUAGCCCUAUGUCUGCACUGAGGUGCAUGAUGGCCUGGCUUUCCACAGACAAAGCAAUUACCUUUUUUCUUGAAAGUGGGGUUAGUUCCACUGGGACGAGAGAAUUUGUUAUUAGGUUUCUUUUUGUGAUCAAAUUUUUUCUCGUACCUUUUUGGAGCUGGUUUGUCUUCUAUCACGUUUGCUUUGGCAGACAAAGCUUUGGCCUUUGCAGCAGCGCACUCCUUCCUGUUUGUGUCUUCAAUGAUGAUGUGGGUGAUCAAAUCUGAUAGAGACAUCUGUUUCUGUCUGUGCUUCAGUUGUUGUUUGUAAUCUGUCCAAGACUGCGGAAGCUUUUCGAUCAAGAGUUCGGACACGAAUUCAUCUGGCAAUUUUAUGCUUUCAGUUUUGAUAUCUUCAAUCAUCUUGUGAUAUUCGUUUAUUUGGAUUUUGAUGUCUUUGCCUUCGAUCAUCUCCCAACGGUAGUAGUUUGCAAUUACGAACCUUUGUCUGACGAUGUCUUCGGCAGUAUAUUUGAGGAUAAGAGAAUCCCAAAUGUCUUUCGCAUUCUUAUAAGAAGCAUAAACAUCAAACAGAUCGUUAGAUAACACACUCAGUAAAGUGUGACGACAUACCUUAUUCGCAUGGAUCCAGUCGUCAACUUGUUUCGCAGCCGUGGUUGAGUCGAGUUUGGCAGUUGUAAGUGCAUGAGCAACUCCGUACAUGAGCAACUUCGUACAUGUCCAAUAGGAUGGACACGCGUUUUUGCCAACGUCGGAAGUUCUGACCGGUGAAGACUUCAAUUUUGGAGACGUCCGGAAAAGGUUUCGCAAAAAUGGUUUGCGUUGCGGAAGCAACAUUUGAUGUUCUCGUAGCGGUGUUGUCGUUGUUGUUCGGAUUUUCAGCCAUAAGUCCUUACGACUGUAGUAAUUUAGGCUUUAAAACGAACAAAAAAUGGUUUUCCGAUGCGUGAGUAAUCACUGUCCGUAAGGACUUAUCCGCAGUGUAUUGCGUAAGUCCCCCAGGAUACAACAGGAACUUCCCGGUAAUUUCCGAGGAUCAGAACUAGCAAGUUUCUCUUUAAAAGAGUAAUACCAAAUAGAACCCAAAAAAUAUUAUAAUAUUAAAAUAAAGAGGAGAGAGAAAGUGAAAAGUGGAAAUUGGGAAAAGAAGAAGAUGGUGAGCGGAGGAAGAAGAUGAAGUAGUGAGAGUUGCGUUUUCUGAAGAGGGGAAAACAGUAUUUAUAGAUGGAGAACCCCCAAGGGUGCCGCCUCUUCAAACCCUAGUGGGUUCAAGGUUGUCGCCGCAGAAGAGGGAAGACCAGCGUGAAGGAAGGAGUCAACCUCCCACUCCUCUCGUAAUGAUCUACAACGUUCAAAAAUCCAGCAGUGCGGAGACGCCCAACUUUCGAUUCGUGCGGCCACGAUCCAAGGUUGAAAGGGCAACGUUUGAUUUUCAACUUGGAAACUAUCUCCACUUCACCCAUGCUUC
rnacentral:lncRNA from 1 species